rnacentral:rRNA from 1 species
AGACCUACGGGACGCAGCAGUGUGGAAUCUUGCACAAUUGUUUAAACCCUGAUGCAGCGACGCCGCGUGAGCGAUGAAGUAUUUCGGUAUGUAAAGCUCUAUCAGCAGGGAAGAAAAUGACGGUACCUGACUAAGAAGCCCCGGCUAACUACGUGCCAGCAGCCGCGGUAAUACGUAGGGGGCAAGCGUUAUCCGGAUUUACUGGGUGUAAAGGGAGCGUAGACGGCCGUUCAAGCCAGAUGUGAAAGCCCGGGGCUCAACCCCGGGACUGCAUUUGGCACUGUGUGGCUAGAGUGUCGGAGAGG